rnacentral:lncRNA from 1 species
GCCUCCUUUAGUAGCAUCAAUCUUGUCCACCCCUUCAUUUUUAGCACCCUUUACGUCUUUAUUAUCUUCAGACACCACAGCUUCCUUCAUCUCAGUAUCUUCUUCAGUAGCAGCUCCAGAAACACCAUCAUCAGCUUCCAACUUCUUGCCAUCUGUGUCUUCAUCCUCCAUUUUGUCAGCUUCUGGUUUUCCAUUAUCUUCUUCCGUUUUAGCAAUCUCUGCUUGCUCCUUGUCUUCUUCCUUCACAUUCUUCUCUUGUGUUUUCUCAGUCUCAGCUUUGUUUUCUUUUUCUUUUUCUUUUUCUGCCUCUGCCUCUUUAUCUUCCCCCUCAUUCUUUUCUUCAUCUAUCUCCAUUUUCUCAGGUGCAGCAUCCUCGUUUUUCUUGGUUUCGUGUGUUUCUUUGCCGCUAGCAUUCUCAACCGCUUGUUUUCCAGUGAUUGCAUCUGAUGGCUUC